rnacentral:lncRNA from 1 species
UGGUUUGCCACCAAAAUCAACUGACAUGGAGGCCGCUAGCACUUCAAAGGACACUCCUGGACUUAAAGAAGAUACUGCAGUGAGGGUCUUACCACCACCGCCUCCACCCAGUUUUCCACCUUUACCUCCAAGGCCUCCAAUGCAAUCUGAUAUGCUAGCUCCUGGAGCCAUGAGAUUUCCACCACCUCAGCCACCACCAGAUUCAAGGCCACCCCUUAUGGCUCCAGGAGUUACCAGGCCCCCUCCACCUCCUCCAGGAUUUCCGCCGUCCCAAAUGCCAAUGCCACCGUAUGGUGUGCUCCCUGGUCCGCCACCGAUGCUUAGGCCUCCAUUUAUGCCAGG